CUUCAGGCCAAGAUGGAGCUGCAGGCCCGGGUUCCCCCUGAACACCUCGGAGGAGACGCUUGGAGUCAGAGUAGGGCUUUCAGGCGUGGACCUGCACCCUGUGCAGACGGCAAUCUCAGAGAUGGAAGCAACAGCACAGCUACAGCCUCUGCCACGUCCUGUGGCAUGGUGCCUCCGGGAAGGGACACGAGAAGCGGCUGCCACUCCCCAGGGUGGGGCUGAGACUGCAGAGGCUGAGGGAGCAGAAGCCUGGAUGCCCCAGAGAGGAGAGUACUGAGGACAGAGGGAACCCUGAAGGGACACAGGCUGCACUGGGAAAGGACUACUCAAAGUGGAGUACUACUCUGCAGGAAAGGAUAAACCCGAGUCGUCUGUAGGAAAAUGGAUGCCGCUUGAGACUAUAAGGAAAUGAAUCAGAUGCACAGCUUCAACAUCACAUGGCCUCUCUUAUAUGAGAAACACAAAGUGUAAAUAAAUUAAAGAGCAUAUAAGAUAGCUAAGAAGAAACAGGGAGGUGGAUCUUUUGCAAAUGGGAAGGGGACCAAGAGUUGGGGAGGGGAGAAGGGGACAGGACGAGAAUAGGAAGUGAGGGAUGCAUGUGCACCCUGCGCGAUGAUGUCAUCACUGUGUGCCACAAACACGCACUGAUUUAAAAGCCACAAAAAAGGACGUCCUGAUCUCACGCUUCCACGCUGUGCACACAGCCCGAGGUGGGGUCUCCCGGUCCCACCUGCAGGGCUCUGACCGCUUCCGGGCAGCUGCACUGUUGGGUCCGAGUGGCAGCAUAUCCACCGGAUGGCGGAGGCAGAGGACACCAAGAAGGAGAACAUGCGCGAUCUCCCUCCAGCUCCAAUGAAAACCAGCAGGCGGGAGAGAUCACAGCAUCAUUGCCUCCAGUUUCCUGUGGACUUCGGGGAUGGUUCAACCGCAGUGCUGCUCACCUACACAAACCUGGCCGGCUCAUGGGAUGGUUUGGAUGGAGUCUCCCUCUUCUCUUCUCUUCCUGAUGAUGGGUGAAUCUCAGGUAAGCAACAAGGCUGGGAGGACACAGCUUCAUCAUG
rnacentral:lncRNA from 1 species